GAGUUGAUCGUGGCUCAGAACGAACGCUGGCGGCAUGCCUAACACAUGCAAGUCGAACGGGAUCCGGACUUCGGUUCGGUGAGAGUGGCGGACGGGUGAGUAACGCGUGGGAACCUGCCCAGUGGUGGGGAGUAACUAGCGGGAAACGUAGCAGCUAAUACCGCAUGAGCCCGACGAGGGAAAGGAAUUUAUCGCCAUUGGAGGGGCCCGGCGUUCGAUUAGGUAGUUGGUGGGGUAAGUGGCCUACCAAGCCGACGAUCGAUAGCUGGUCGUGAGAGGAUGAUCAGCCACACUGGGA
rnacentral:rRNA from 1 species